rnacentral:lncRNA from 1 species
CCUGGACAGCCUUGGGGUGAGGACUGGUUACCAGGGGAACUCACCAUGUGGUUAGAGAGUUGGAACUUUCAGUCCCACUACACCCUCCCCCGCCCACCGCCUCAGCAACCAACCUCCAGGGAGGGGAAAGGGGGCAGAAGUUUGAGUUAAUAACUAAUAGCUAAAGAUGUAAACAAUAAGCCUCCAUAAAACCCCAAAAGGACUGGACUGGUUUCUGAGAGCUUCCAGGUUGUUGAGCACGUGGAGGUUCUGGGAGGGUCCACACCCAGAGAAGGCAUGGAAGCUGACCCCUUCCCCAUACCUUGCUCUUUGCAUCUCUUCCAUUUGGCUGUUCCCGAGUUGUAUACUUUGUAAUAAGUGGGAUUUCCACCCAACAACAAUUCAGCCACACUGCUUCACACAUCUAGAAUCCAUCCAAAAUUGUAAAGGCUUUGUGGCACUACAGUGAAACAGGCAAGAACAUCUUCCAAACAUCCAGCACAAGAGCACACAGGAGGCCGGCAUAAUCACGAAUUGCAGCUGUCUGAAGGGCAGUCACAUAAAAGAGGAGAAGCUUCACCUUUGCUUCACAAGGCACAUCUUGAACCAGGGAUGGAAAUUACAGAGAGGCCAAAACCAGCUCGGUGUGAGCAGGACUGGUAACAGACUGGCCAAGCAACAGAAGGGGCUGCCCUGUGAAGAAGCAAGCUCUCUGUCAAUGGGAGGUGCAAGCUGAGCCUGCACUACCUUUUGUCACGGUUGCUAUGGAAAAGAUUAAGAGCCCGGGCUGCUUGAGUGUCUGCAUGACAUGGCAGCUGGCUCCCUGAAGAGCACGUGAUCCGAAAGAGAGAGCAAGACAGAAGCGCAGUGUCUUCAACAGCAUAUCUUUGAAAGUCAUAUUCCACCGUUUUCACUACAUUCUAUUGAUAAGAUAGCCCUUCCUCCUCUGGGGGCCUGGGCAUCAGCAAGUCGGAUGGCAGUGGAAGGUGGAGAAAUGGAAUCCUGCUGGGGGCUCAGGAGGCCUGCCCCCUGAUGCUGCCGUGCACUGCAGAUGUCCUUGAUGAAGAGAAUGAAUGGAAGCUGUCUUUCUCAAUGGCAAAAGGGCAUACUGCUGUUAUUGUCAGUGAGGGGUCAGUAGUUUAAAUGAUGAAACUCUGGGGAUCAGCGUAAAGUAAACCAACAUACUGCAUGUAAGUAUCAAGUAAAUGAGCAGAGACAGCCCCUGGUUUACAAACACCUGACUUAAGCAUCGUCCAUCCUACAGGACAGGGAAGGAGGAAGAAGCUUCGAGAGGCUGGAACAGUUGAGGGAGCGCUGACACGGUAAAGGCCACUUUGCUCAUCAUCACCAGGCGUGCUGCCGAAAAUUUCCACUCUGUUUACUCCCAAGACCUUACUCCUACUAUGUGGAGACACAUUUGAAUAAAAAAUUGGCCUCUUUUCAAAGUCAAAAUUCUGAGCCAGCUUGAAGGGAUUGUUUUUGGUCAAACCUGCAUCAAUUUGGGCAUCAA